rnacentral:rRNA from 1 species
UACGGAGGAUCCAAGCGUUAUCCGGAUUUAUUGGGUUUAAAGGGUGCGUAGGCGGCCUGUUAAGUCAGGGGUGAAAGACGGUAGCUCAACUAUCGCAGUGCCCUUGAUACUGAUGGGCUUGAAUGGACUAGAGGUAGGCGGAAUGAGACAAGUAGCGGUGAAAUGCAUAGAUAUGACAUAGAACACCAAUUGCGAAGGCAGCUCACUAAGCAAACAUUGACGCUGAGGCACGAAAGCGUGGGGAUCAAACAGG